CCCGGGUGGAGCACCCUCCCCCGACGAAGGGCCUGGGCGUCCCCACCCGGCGCCCCUCCUCCCGCGCUCCACCCUCUCCCCGGCCCCGAGGGAACCGCAGGCCGGGCCCAGAAAGGCUGAGUCCCGGAGCGGUGAGCGGCGCCGUCGGGACCCUCGGCCUGCGCGGCAGGAAGAGGCGGCCACCGCGGAGCCACGCACCGCUCAGGAUGUCUCACGCCAGGACCGCGCCAGGGCCGUGGUGUGGGGCAAGAGCUUCGUGUCACCCCGCACCUCCCAGCAGGAAGGUGGUGUGGAUCCGAGUCAGGGUGAGGGUGGAAGACAGCGGGUUGGCAGGGUGCACGCCCUCCCACUAGGAGCAAGGCUAGUGAAGCAGGACCGGCCACACCACGUCCACCUUGGUGCCUUCUGACAGGUCAGGCUGGGCCCCAGUCCCUGGUUCCUGGUGAGCUUCCUGUCACCCCACACCUCCCUGCCUGCCCAGAUCAGCAUUGCAUCUGGAGGGUUCCGAAGAGAAACACAACCUGGGGGCGUUGGUAACAGCAGGUGAGACAGCCUUGUCCUGCCCUGCUGUGCUGUGUUGCAUCCACUAGAAAGGGGCCUCCUGUUCUGACCCCAGCCCCUGCCCCCGAGAUGCAGCUGGCAUGUCCCUGUGGGCAUCUCCCUGACGAGGUCCAGGGGUGAGUGGGCCACAGGCCUGUUUGCACAGGUGCCUUCUUUUGGGAGGGAACAGCCCACCACCACCUCCUGCCAGACCAGCCUCUUUGAGCAUAAACCUGACCCUGGGUGACCACGCUGGGCUCCCUCACCUUAAUCUCACCAGAGGCUUCUGCUGGUCCCACAGCCAACCCGCGGAGUGAGGUCUGGGCCAGCGGUGCUCUGCUCAGACAAGGAACAUGCCCAGAAGCCUCCCCAGCUAUCCUGGCCCCGUUCUGUGGGGCUCCUUGGUCUGUUGGGGUCUGAGGGACCAGGUGGGAGUGUGGGUGUGAGUGUGGGUGAUCCUUCCUUAUGUGGCCACCCUUGGCCCUAUCAACCUGUCUGCAUCCAGGACACCAGCACAUCCCUGACCCCAGGUGUGGCUGCCAGCGAGUUCCUGUGCCUUCCUCCCCUGAAGUCUGUGUCUUCUCCCAGGUCUGAUGCCAUGUGGAAAGUCCACUCCUGGGGCCAGCUGGAGGCCAUGUGGACUGGCCCUGAGUGCCCACUGUCUGGCCGCAGCCUUCACUGUACUGCCCGUGUGCGGGCUACUAGGUUCACCUGCACCUGACCCUCGUUCUAGGUUCACCUGCACCUGACUCCCUGAUGCUCACACAGUGACUUGGGGAGGGAGGCUGGGGAGGCACAGGUCUGCAUGGCAGCGCCUCUCUGGGUCUGAGGCCCUUGGGCCAGGCCUCUCCUCUGACCUGGGCCAGUGGAGGGGCCUCCUUUCCCUUCCAAGAGCCCUUCCCUGUUCACCAGCGUCUCACCACGCUCAGGCCCACAGUGUGGUUCAGGAGGGGCAUGGGGCUGGCCCUGGGUUUCUGGCUGGGUGUGGGGGCCUACCCGGGCCCCCCAGCCUAACUUCCAGCCCACAAUCUGGCUCCACCUGUCUCUGGAGGACCAUGGUGUCUUCCGGAAAAGACCCUGACUGGGUCCAAAGCUGGAGGCACCCCUCUAUCUUCACCGUCCACUCCCUGAUGUUCUGGAGGCCCCUCCAGGGGCUGGGUGAGGAGGCCUUCCCCACCACCUCCUUGUCUUCCUGAGAAGCAGGCACCUGUUCGGAGGCCACUUUCCCACUGGACCAGGCUCCUCACCCCCAGCAUCACCCUUUUCCGCGGGGUUGUGCCCCUUCCUUGGUCCUGUCCACUCACACACACCUGUGUCUGUGUCCAUGUUCACACCUGUUCUGUGUCCACUCGCACACCUAUAUCUCGUGUCCACUUGCACAUCUGUGUUCCGUGUCCACUCGCUCACACCCAUGUCUCCUGUCCACUGGUUCACAUCUGUCCCGUGUUCACUCACACACCUGUGUCCCGUGUCCCGCGUUUGCUCACACACGUGUGUAAUGUGUCCACUCACCUAUGUCGACUGGCUUACACCUGUCCCUUGUUCCCUUGCGCAUCUGUGUCCCAUGUCUUGUGUCUGCUCGCACAUCUGUGAUGUGUCCACUUGCUCACACCUGUCCCGUGUCCUCCACUCGCACACCUGUGUCCCAUGUCCACUCACAUACCUGUCUUGGUCUGGGACACCUGGGCCCCACUCUCCCCUGCACUCCUCAGGCUGGCGGCAGAGGCCAGAGGAACGGAGUUUUGGCGCUGGAAUCAUCCUGAGCGAGGCAGGGACCUGGCGGUGUGGAUUCCACCGCUCCUCCUCCGGCCCACCGAGCCCUGCCUGCCUGGGCCUUGGUGCCUCUGUCGCUGCUCCGGGUCCCCCUGCUGGGGCCCCUCCGCCGCUGGGCUGAGGCUGGAGCCGCUGCCUCCCGCCACCAGAGGGAGGAGGUCAUAAAUAACCCUGGGGCUGCCAUGGAGCAGACGGUGACCCCAGACGUCCUGGGAGUGUUGGGGCGCCAGGGGCUGCUGCCCCAGCCCGCACGCCGCCUCCGCCAUCCGGGAGUGCCUGCCCAGGCUCCCCAGCACUUCUCUUAAAGCCCUUCUCAUCCAUCCCCUCAUCAAUCAAUCAACCAUUUAUUGAGUCCAGAUGUGGUACAGCCCCAGCCGGAGAUGACCCAGAGGUGGCGUGGGGAGGAGAGAGAUGGGGAAGCCGAGUCCAGGGCCACAGGUGCAGCCAGGAGGGGCAGGUGAGCAGCGCUCAGGCCGGCCUGUCAGCCUCAGUCCUGAGCUUGCUUCUGGUGGUGGAGGGAGAUAUACAGAAAAGAUCCUGCAGCCUGCAGGUGUGGCACAGCUGAUCUCGGGCCAAGGAUGCACAGCUGUGUGUGUGCCUGGCCACCGGCAAGGGCACGCGUGCUCAGAAGCACAGGUGUGCCCACACCCUGCGUGCCUGUGUGUGGCGCAGCAGCUCCCGACUCGCGCACGACACACACACAGCACAGACAGACCCUCCCAUGGCCACAUGGACAAAGAUGGCUUCACCACAGACACCGGUGCAGACAGGAUGUGCACUGCUUUCCAAGGCCUGCGCGCAACACAGACCCAGGGCCUGCGGGCAGCAGCACCGCACAGACCCAGGCACACAUGAUCCUCAGCCAAGGUGGCCUGUCCAGUGCCAGGGUCCAGUCCUGGUGCUGCUGGACGGAAAGGCUAACCCGGGAGGUCAGGGGUCAUGGUAAAUCAGCUGGGCUCCCUCAGAUGCUCCUGCAGAAGUGGCCAGGACCUCAGGAACGCACCUGCUCCUGGUCAGACAGGAGGGGCUGCCGCACUGCAACUUGCCCGCGCCUUUGGGUGCUGUGAGCUGGCUGUGCACCACAUCGUUUCAAGGACACAAGAAGGUGUUUCCAAGUCCAGUCUGUCCACCGACCUGAACCUUUACCAUUGAAAGAACAAAGGGGUGGGGCCCAGGGGACCCUUCCCUGCCCUCCCGUGGUGUGUAAUCAGGGAUGCUCCUGCAGACACACAGGUGGGCUCUGACUGCCAGAUCGCAGGGGCGGUGCCAUGGUCCUCACCUGCCAUGUCACUAGUGUGCUGACACGCACACCAGCGAGAGAGAGAGUGCUAGGACCGGCACAUCCCAGACAAUUCCUCUGUAAAUGGUGCAGCAGCCAGAGGCCCCGGCACCUUGAGGCUAAGCAAAGGGAAAGAAUAGAGUUCUCCAGAACCCCAAGGAGCGGGAGGGUCUGUCCCAAUGGAUGGGCUCAGCCAAUUUCACCUUCUCCUCCCCCUGCCAACACUGCGGCCUGCAGCCUGGACCUGGCCCGGGUUGUGGAGGGGACCAGAGGAUGCAGCUGCCACCUGCUGGGUGGACGUGGGCCUAGGUGGUCCUCAGCGCUCAUGGCAGGAGCCCCCGAAGCACUGUUGCGGCACCCUCUCUGACACUGGGUCGGAGACUCUGGGAGCCGAGUGCAGAGCCAGGGCCCAGCACGCAGGCCUUGGGCUCCAGUCCCUGUCCCCCACAUCUGGAAUGUGCCAGCAGGGCCCAGUGCGAGAGAAGAGCAGAUCCCUACGUGAGUGAGGGUGGAGGAAUGGUGCCUCUGCCAUGGCCACAGUGCCGCCGUCCACAUCAGCUCACUCUCAGCACAGAUGCUGUGUGAAGGCCUCGGGCCACGCCGCUUGUUCUGAGGGCCCCAGCGGGUCGGGCUCUUGCUGUGCUGGCUGCACAUUGACUAGCUGGUGAGCUUGGCGGGUCUGUGGGCACAGAGAGACCAGAACCCGCAUAACAGGCCCAAUGAGGAUGCCAGGCUUCAGAGGAGAGGGGCACCAGCCAGGGGCCCUGCACAGACAGCUUCAGGUGCAAGGAGCUGGAGCCCAGGCCAGCUGGGGAGGGGCAGGGUGCGGUGGCUGGAAGUCGCUAUUCUCAGACCCGGUUCUGAGACCCUCUCCAACUGCAUGGGGGGGGUGGUCCAGGCUGGACCCCAGAUGUGACGGUGUAUGUGCUGGGAUGGGAGUCCCCUGAGAACAGGGCUUUUGUUAAUUCACCAGCAAUCCCACAAGUCUGGCACGAGAUAGGUGGUCAGUUAGUGAAGACCACACGCAGGGGGUCUUCCACUGUGUCCAGGGGAGGGUGGGCCCUGCUCACAGCCAGACUGGGUACAGCUCCAGGUGGGCUCCGGGGCUCGCCCAGGGCAGCUCAGCCUCCUAGCCCUGGGCAGCCCUGCUGCCUGCCUUCCUGUCCCUGGUGCUCUGUAGGAGUCUGACCACAGGUAUCCUCUUCAUCAGAGAGAGGAAAGCUCACAACGUGGGAGAACUCCAGGCCUGGCCCAGCGAAGACGUCCUUGUCUUCAGCAGACGUUGCCCAGUGCAAGGGGAGGUCAGUCUCAGGAGACAGUCUCACGCUCAGUGGCGUGGUGUCUGUCCUAAGGCCUUGCCUGCAGCACAGGGUGCCACAGAGGUCCCCUGUGACAGAGCCUCAUGGCUGGGGCAGGCAGGGGUCACACCUGCUCCUGCACGAAGAGGCAGAUACAGACCCAUGGAGUGGUCUCUGGGGUCCCACAUCCCAGGUGGAGAAUGACCCACGUCGCUGGCGUCUGUGUCAUCUCUGCUCCACUGACCACUCAUGGGGGUCCUAGAGAUCCUGACGCUGGUGGCCGGGGAGCAGCAGCCCAGGCACAGGCCCCAGUGCACACGCAGAUCCUACCAUGUCUGCACAAGGCCUUGCCCCCACGAGGCCUGGGCGCCGUGUGAGGGCCGGGACGCUAACACAGCGGAGGGUACCCACGCGUGAGCUGUUCUGGGGUCCCUCCCCAUGUUUCUUCGGGUAAUGAAACUUGUACCUAAAUGGGAUAUGCAGGGUUCCACUGUGCAGUUGGUAUGUAUUUUAGGAUCUCAUCCCCGUGUGCCCCAGCAGGACCACAGCUGUGACCGGCUGCUCCAGAAGAAGUGGGUGGGUUGAGACCCCACCGGCCGGGUCACUGGGGGCAGCAGGCCCUCUGUCAGCACUGAGUUCUGUGUCAUGUCAGGGAUUUUCAGGGCGGCAAGCUUAGGUGGACAGGCAGUUUUAUUCUGUUUCCCAUGUCAAGUCCAGCUCCAGACUGACUUUCUGAGGUCACAGACGGAGCCUCACCCCAUCCAAGGCGGUGUCCUGGACUCCCACUGUGCUCCCCAGAGGGCAGGGUGAGUGCGUGGCAUCCUUUUGGCGGGCGUGGGUGCCUCUGUGGACCUGGCGUGAGGCUUCUCUGUUUCUGAGUCUCUUAUGGACCAUCUGUCUUCUGUGUGGCUGCUGAGGAAUCACACUGAGGUGGCCGUGCAGGUGGCUGAAUGAGAACAGGACCGCCAUGCUGCACAGCCCUGUGUGACCCCGGGGAUGGCCCCAGAAGCGAGUGGGCGAGGCUGGGCAGCAGGGAUUGGCUGAAAUCAUCUUUGGAGCCCAAGGUGCAGGGGAAAGGUGGCAAUUCCAGGGUCCCUUUGUUCGCCAGGUACCUGGGGCCCAGCCUGGGCAGCAGGAGGGACUCAGCCCCUCGCCCAGGGAGGAAGGGUCCCAAGCAGAGGCCCCUCCUUCCUGCACUCCCCAGCCCACACCUGCAGCACUGGGACCAAGAUUAAUAAAACACCCGCCUCACGGAAGACAGCUUUAUCUUGUUGAUCGGAAGUCUGCCAGCCCAAUUUAUGAUGGAACAUAAGAUCUCCAAAUCUGAAUUUAUGCGCUGUAGGGUAACGAGAGGUCAAUAAGAUUAAACAGGGGCUCAGGAGAGGACCAGCGUCAGGCUCACUGCGAGGUGCUGCACAGAAAACCCACAGCCAGAGCCCCUGGGCCCAGCCCAGGCAAGACCAGAAAGGGAGGGGGCAGGUGGGAGACCAGCCUGGGGCUCCCGGGAAGCCUACGGGAUGGAAGCGGGAGAGCCAGGAGGCCUGGGGCAACCCUGGGACGGUUCCUGGAUCGAGGAGAGCAGGGGGGUGAUGAGGGUUCCCUCAGGGCUGGGGAGCCUUCUCCUGGUCUCAGACCCACCCCCCCUUCAGCUCCCAAGCCCUGGGUGCCCCUGGCUCAGAACAGUUGGGAAUCUUCCCUGAGGCAGGUUCAAGGACAGAGCUCUGACCCUGGCCCAGGGCUGCUUUGGGUGCCCAUGAACUCGGCUUCUGGCUCAGAGCAGUUCCCUGCACCCCUUCCUGAGCCCUCUGUCCUCUGGAACCCAUGGGCAGGGUGAGGGACGGGUGCUCCGUCUGGGUGGGGGCCUGGGCGCCCAGCCAGCACGAGGCUGGCUUGCUGAGCUUAGGGCAGACCCCGACUUCAGAAUUUAUACAAAUAAACGCAAUGAAAAGUGCUGG